rnacentral:tRNA from 1 species
GUUUUCAGUGGUUCAAUUCGGUGGAUCGGAGAGUUUGGAAUUGUCUCAUUCGGUGCGAUAUCGAACUGAAAGCCGCU